rnacentral:rRNA from 1 species
GGUUAAGCGACUAAGCGUACACGGUGGAUGCCCUGGCAGUCAGAGGCGAUGAAGGGCGUGCUAAUCUGCGAUAAGCGCCGGUAAGGUGAUAUGAACCGUUAUAACCGGCGAUACCCGAAUGGGGAAACCCAGUGUGACUCGUCACACUAUCAUUAACUGAAUCCAUAGGUUAAUGAGGCGAACCGGGGGAACUGAAACAUCUAAGUACCCCGAGGAAAAGAAAUCAACCGAGAUUCCCCCAGUAGCGGCGAGCGAACGGGGAGGAGCCCAGAGCCUGAAUCAGCAUGUGUGUUAGUGGAAGCGUCUGGAAAGGCGCGCGAUACAGGGUGACAGCCCCGUACACAAAAGCGCAUGUGCUGUGAGCUCGAUGAGUAGGGCGGGACACGUGGUAUCCUGUCUGAAUAUGGGGGGACCAUCCUCCAAGGCUAAAUACUCCUGACUGACCGAUAGUGAACCAGUACCGUGAGGGAAAGGCGAAAAGAACCCCGGCGAGGGGAGUGAAAAAGAAUCUGAAACCGUGUACGUACAAGCAGUGGGAGCCCCACCACCAAAGCAUUCUCUGGUGUUGAAGGCCCUGCAAAGCAGCAUCGCGGUGGCGGAGCGUCGUUUGCGACGCCCAACACACAAAACAAGCGGUGAAUGCUUUGGGGUGGGGUGACUGCGUACCUUUUGUAUAAUGGGUCAGCGACUUAUAUUCUGUAGCAAGGUUAACCGAAUAGGGGAGCCGGAGGGAAACCGAGUCUUAAUUGGGCGUUAAGUUGCAGGGUAUAGACCCGAAACCCGGUGAUCUAGCCAUGGGCAGGUUGAAGGUUGGGUAACACUAACUGGAGGACCGAACCGACUAAUGUUGAAAAAUUAGCGGAUGACCUGUGGCUGGGGGUGAAAGGCCAAUCAAACCGGGAGAUAGCUGGUUCUCCCCGAAAGCUAUUUAGGUAGCGCCUCGUGAAUUCAUCUCCGGGGGUAGAGCACUGUUUCGGCUAGGGGGCCAUCCCGGCUUACCAACCCGAUGCAAACUGCGAAUACCGGAGAAUGUUAUCACGGGAGACACACGGCGGGUGCUAACGUCCGUCGUGAAGAGGGAAACAACCCAGACCGCCAGCUAAGGUCCCAAAGUCAUGGUUAAGUGGGAAACGAUGUGGGAAGGCCCAGACAGCCAGGAUGUUGGCUUAGAAGCAGCCAUCAUUUAAAGAAAGCGUAAUAGCUCACUGGUCGAGUCGGCCUGCGCGGAAGAUGUAACGGGGCUAAACCAUGCACCGAAGUUGCGGCAGCGACGCUGAUGCGUUGUUGGGUAGGGGAGCGUUCUGUAAGCCUGCGAAGGUGACCUGUGAGGGUUGCUGGAGGUAUCAGAAGUGCGAAUGCUGACAUAAGUAACGAUAAAGCGGGUGAAAAGCCCGCUCGCCGGAAGACCAAGGGUUCCUGUCCAACGUUAAUCGGGGCAGGGUGAGUCGACCCCUAAGGCGAGGCCGAAAGGCGUAGUCGAUGGGAAACGGGUUAAUAUUCCCGUACUUGGUGUUACUGCGAAGGGGGGACGGAGAAGGCUAUGUUGGCCGGGCGACGGUUGUCCCGGUUUAAGCGUGUAGGUGUGUGUUCCAGGUAAAUCCGGUUCACUUUAACACUGAGGCGUGAUGACGAGGCACUACGGUGCUGAAGCAACAAAUGCCCUGCUUCCAGGAAAAGCCUCUAAGCAUCAGGUAACAUCAAAUCGUACCCCAAACCGACACAGGUGGUCAGGUAGAGAAUACCAAGGCGCUUGAGAGAACUCGGGUGAAGGAACUAGGCAAAAUGGUGCCGUAACUUCGGGAGAAGGCACGCUGACACGUAGGUGAAGUGAUUUACUCACGGAGCUGAAGUCAGUCGAAGAUACCAGCUGGCUGCAACUGUUUAUUAAAAACACAGCACUGUGCAAACACGAAAGUGGACGUAUACGGUGUGACGCCUGCCCGGUGCCGGAAGGUUAAUUGAUGGGGUCAGCGCAAGCGAAGCUCCUGAUCGAAGCCCCGGUAAACGGCGGCCGUAACUAUAACGGUCCUAAGGUAGCGAAAUUCCUUGUCGGGUAAGUUCCGACCUGCACGAAUGGCGUAAUGAUGGCCAGGCUGUCUCCACCCGAGACUCAGUGAAAUUGAACUCGCUGUGAAGAUGCAGUGUACCCGCGGCAAGACGGAAAGACCCCGUGAACCUUUACUAUAGCUUGACACUGAACAUUGAGCCUUGAUGUGUAGGAUAGGUGGGAGGCUUUGAAGUGUGGACGCCAGUCUGCAUGGAGCCGACCUUGAAAUACCACCCUUUAAUGUUUGAUGUUCUAACGUGGACCCGUAAUCCGGGUUGCGGACAGUGUCUGGUGGGUAGUUUGACUGGGGCGGUCUCCUCCUAAAGAGUAACGGAGGAGCACGAAGGUUGGCUAAUCCUGGUCGGACAUCAGGAGGUUAGUGCAAUGGCAUAAGCCAGCUUGACUGCGAGCGUGACGGCGCGAGCAGGUGCGAAAGCAGGUCAUAGUGAUCCGGUGGUUCUGAAUGGAAGGGCCAUCGCUCAACGGAUAAAAGGUACUCCGGGGAUAACAGGCUGAUACCGCCCAAGAGUUCAUAUCGACGGCGGUGUUUGGCACCUCGAUGUCGGCUCAUCACAUCCUGGGGCUGAAGUAGGUCCCAAGGGUAUGGCUGUUCGCCAUUUAAAGUGGUACGCGAGCUGGGUUUAGAACGUCGUGAGACAGUUCGGUCCCUAUCUGCCGUGGGCGCUGGAGAACUGAGGGGGGCUGCUCCUAGUACGAGAGGACCGGAGUGGACGCAUCACUGGUGUUCGGGUUGUCAUGCCAAUGGCACUGCCCGGUAGCUAAAUGCGGAAGAGAUAAGUGCUGAAAGCAUCUAAGCACGAAACUUGCCCCGAGAUGAGUUCUCCCUGAGACUUUAGGUCUCCUGAAGGAACGUUGAAGACGACGACGUUGAUAGGCCGGGUGUGUAAGCGCAGCGAUGCGUUGAGCUAACCGGUACUAAUGAACCGUGAGGCUUAACCUU